UGUGAUUGGACAGCCAGAGCUGUCAGUCACAACACGGAGAAACGAGGCUCCGAAUCCGUCGGUUAGGUAGAGGAGAAGGGACAAGGAAAAAGAUCGGGGCAGAGAGCGAAGUACCGUGUGUAUGUGUGGAGGCUUCACCACGCAGCGUGCCGGAAUGAGGCUAAACCUGUCCGAGGCCCGGCCCUGAACCUCGCUUCUCUAUAUUCUGCUGUAGAUCUGCUGCUGUGUUUGGAAUCAUUGUCCCGUUGGACCAUACACUUGCAGCCAAGCUGUUGGACGGAUGACCUAACAUUUGACUUAAGAAAACUUUGUGUACAGAGGAAGUCGUGGUCGACUCAGUGACUGCAAGGUGGACGGGUCCUGCAGCUGCAAAACUAGCCCAGAUCAUUACCCUGUGCUUUAUUAUUAGUAUUUGCGCUGAUAUGCUGGUACAAGGCUUUGUACAGUUUGGCCAAACAUCUCCCCUAUCGCCUGUCCAAAGGAUGUUGCUCCAGAAGUCUUGUGGUUUGUUCAAAUGCAACUUCACAAACUUUAGCCACGCUGCCAUGUUCUGUUAUGAGAGAAGAGGCUUUCUCCUAGCAACCCUUCCAAACAAGACAUACUUGUUCAGUAUUUGCUAAUUGUGCUGUCAUGAACUUUAACGUUUAACUUGUCUGGGCCUGCAGACUCUGAGCUGUGGUUCUUGGGGUUUUUUGUAAUUUCUCUUCACGUUGCACAGUCUGACCCUGGAGUGAAUUUCCUGUUACGUCCACUUCUGGGAAAAUUGUGGGAUUAUGGUAACGCACACCCAAAACUGCCAAAACCUCUGCUGUUACAGGGCUGCUCACGCUUUCUGAUGAUCAGUUAAUCGAGUGCAUCUGAUUAGCAGCAUGUGGCUGCUACUUACCUUCUUAAAUCCUGUGGAAGCAGUGAGGGUGUACUUAGUUUCUACAGAGUCCUGUGAAAACUUCACAUUAAGGUACCAAACAUAUAUAGUAAAAAGCAGGAUGUGAAGUCCUCUCUGAAACUGAGUACAUUAGGUACACCAGGUUAUUAGGUACACCAAAUUUGGAUAGCUGUUUCUUUCCUUUUACAUGUAAAUAUCAUUUAGCUUCCAGAGUGAGACUCCAAAAAGAUUUGUCUUUUGUUUUGUCCGUCUGUAUUUACUAAUAGAAUGUAAUGACUCAGCCGAUGUUUUCACACUGCAAAAAAUUCAUAGUAUGAUGAAUGGUUAAAAGAAUGCAAAGAUGAAGCCUGAGUCACUGCAAUGAUCGCUAAUGUGAAUGAGAUUCACUGCAUGACUCCACUGGCUUGAAACACACACACAGAAACUUGCACUGCCAGUCUAGUUAUUCCACUCGCUGCCAUUUGAGAAGGAUAGCUGCAGUCUCAGCGUGAUCCCACUGUGCCGCGCAGCUCAGGUGACUUUCAGGAAGUAAUCCAGUAAUAACAGCUGGCCAGCUGAAGGAAUCAUUGGAACUAGAAGAUAUAAAGUGUAAAAAUGGAUAUAGGAGGAAGCUGUCAGUAUGUCAUACUAUACCGUAUAACAAAUUUAAUGCAUAGUAUGUUUCAUUGUACUUCAUUGUACUUAGUGGAAACCAGUCACUUUACAAUACCAGUGUAAUUAAACCUCACUUAUAACAAACAGUUUGCUGUUUUUAAGAUGUCCUUCUCCUCAAGAUGAAUCCUUGUGUUUGGAGCCGUAUUCCUGCACAUGCUGGCUCUUAUUUACUAUUGACUGCGACACAUCUGUGCUACUUUUUACCAGUAUUCUGCCAUGGAAACCCUCAAAUAUGUGCCAUAAUGGUGUUGGAAGAUAAUCUGGGCAACUUUACUUUACUACAGUUUACUUUUCUUGUAGUUUUUCUGCUCAUUUCCAACCUUAUUGGGUGGUAGGCCUAAAUAGCUCUCAGUGUGGGUUUGAUCAACCAGAGACUCAAUCAUGUCAACGCUCAGUGUCAGUAGACUGGCAGUGAUAUGCUGUUUAUUACCAGUAGUAAAUGUGAGAAUAUGCCAAGCAGGGUUGCGGAUUAUUACUUCUUUUUUAAAAUUCAUUGAUUGUUCAUUUGAUCCAUGUAAAUAAAAUACCCACAUCAACAUUUCAAAGCUGAGAAAUCAUAAAAAGUCCUGUAUUGCCCAACCAACAGUCCAAGGGUCUCAACUGUGAGCGAUACAGAAACAUUAAUCGAAAACAGCUGAAAAUCCGAUGCAUUACUUUUUACAGAAACUGGACACUUCCUGCUCAUUUCCAGCUCCAGAUUUUUAUACUCAACUCUGUUUGAGUAGCUUUGCAUGAUUCCAGUGUUAGGAUAAUGCUUAUUUCUCUCAUCUGUCUCAAACAAGCUGUUUUAGCUCCUCUUCUUUUAAGUCAAACGAAAAUUUUAAACAACAGGUGGGAGGGUCCUCUGUCCUGAAGAGUACAAUAUCAGGAGCUGACACUGGAAUGAACCCGAGCUAGUUUUAAAUUCUACUCAUUUUUGGUUGAUUUGGUUGAUUCUCUAUUCUAUUAA